GCUAUUUUGGCAGAAAUAUGCAUUAAAUUUAGGAUUUAAUAAUAUAGAUUAUUCYAUAAAUAGUAAAGUAAUUAGAAGCUAAUUAUUUU
rnacentral:tRNA from 1 species